UUAUAUGAGAGUUUGAUCCUGGCUCAGGAUGAACGCCGGCGGUGUGCCUAAUACAUGCAAGUCGUACGCACUGGCCCAACUGAUUGAUGGUGCUUGCACCUGAUUGACGAUGGAUCACCAGUGAGUGGCGGACGGGUGAGUAACACGUAGGUAACCUGCCCCGGAGCGGGGGAUAACAUUUGGAAACAGAUGCUAAUACCGCAUAACAACAAAAGCCACAUGGCUUUUGUUUGAAAGAUGGCUUUGGCUAUCACUCUGGGAUGGACCUGCGGUGCAUUAGCUAGUUGGUAAGGUAACGGCUUACCAAGGCGAUGAUGCAUAGCCGAGUUGAGAGACUGAUCGGCCACAAUGGAACUGAGACACGGUCCAUACUCCUACGGGAGGCAGCAGUAGGGAAUCUUCCACAAUGGGCGCAAGCCUGAUGGAGCAACACCGCG
rnacentral:rRNA from 1 species